GGUUAAGCGACUAAGCGUACACGGUGGAUGCCCUGGCAGUCAGAGGCGAUGAAGGACGUGCUAAUCUGCGAUAAGCGUCGGUAAGGUGAUAUGAACCGUUAUAACCGGCGAUUUCCGAAUGGGGAAACCCAGUGUGAUUCGUCACACUAUCAUUAACUGAAUCCAUAGGUUAAUGAGGCGAACCGGGGGAACUGAAACAUCUAAGUACCCCGAGGAAAAGAAAUCAACCGAGAUUCCCCCAGUAGCGGCGAGCGAACGGGGAGCAGCCCAGAGCCUGAAUCAGUGUGUGUGUUAGUGGAAGCGUCUGGAAAGGCGCGCGAUACAGGGUGACAGCCCCGUACACAAAAAUGCACAUGCUGUGAGCUCGAUGAGUAGGGCGGGACACGUGGUAUCCUGUCUGAAUAUGGGGGGACCAUCCUCCAAGGCUAAAUACUCCUGACUGACCGAUAGUGAACCAGUACCGUGAGGGAAAGGCGAAAAGAACCCCGGCGAGGGGAGUGAAAAAGAACCUGAAACCGUGUACGUACAAGCAGUGGGAGCACGCUUAGGCGUGUGACUGCGUACCUUUUGUAUAAUGGGUCAGCGACUUAUAUUCUGUAGCAAGGUUAACCGAAUAGGGGAGCCGAAGGGAAACCGAGUCUUAACUGGGCGUUAAGUUGCAGGGUAUAGACCCGAAACCCGGUGAUCUAGCCAUGGGCAGGUUGAAGGUUGGGUAACACUAACUGGAGGACCGAACCGACUAAUGUUGAAAAAUUAGCGGAUGACUUGUGGCUGGGGGUGAAAGGCCAAUCAAACCGGGAGAUAGCUGGUUCUCCCCGAAAGCUAUUUAGGUAGCGCCUCGUGAAUUCAUCUCCGGGGGUAGAGCACUGUUUCGGCAAGGGGGUCAUCCCGACUUACCAACCCGAUGCAAACUGCGAAUACCGGAGAAUGUUAUCACGGGAGACACACGGCGGGUGCUAACGUCCGUCGUGAAGAGGGAAACAACCCAGACCGCCAGCUAAGGUCCCAAAGUCAUGGUUAAGUGGGAAACGAUGUGGGAAGGCCCAGACAGCCAGGAUGUUGGCUUAGAAGCAGCCAUCAUUUAAAGAAAGCGUAAUAGCUCACUGGUCGAGUCGGCCUGCGCGGAAGAUGUAACGGGGCUAAACCAUGCACCGAAGCUGCGGCAGCGACGCUUAUGCGUUGUUGGGUAGGGGAGCGUUCUGUAAGCCUGUGAAGGUGUGCUGUGAGGCAUGCUGGAGGUAUCAGAAGUGCGAAUGCUGACAUAAGUAACGAUAAAGCGGGUGAAAAGCCCGCUCGCCGGAAGACCAAGGGUUCCUGUCCAACGUUAAUCGGGGCAGGGUGAGUCGACCCCUAAGGCGAGGCCGAAAGGCGUAGUCGAUGGGAAACAGGUUAAUAUUCCUGUACUUGGUGUUACUGCGAAGGGGGGACGGAGAAGGCUAUGUUGGCCGGGCGACGGUUGUCCCGGUUUAAGCGUGUAGGCUGGUUUUCCAGGCAAAUCCGGAAAAUCAAGGCUGAGGCGUGAUGACGAGGCACUACGGUGCUGAAGCAACAAAUGCCCUGCUUCCAGGAAAAGCCUCUAAGCAUCAGGUAACAUCAAAUCGUACCCCAAACCGACACAGGUGGUCAGGUAGAGAAUACCAAGGCGCUUGAGAGAACUCGGGUGAAGGAACUAGGCAAAAUGGUGCCGUAACUUCGGGAGAAGGCACGCUGAUAUGUAGGUGAAGCGACUUGCUCGUGGAGCUGAAAUCAGUCGAAGAUACCAGCUGGCUGCAACUGUUUAUUAAAAACACAGCACUGUGCAAACACGAAAGUGGACGUAUACGGUGUGACGCCUGCCCGGUGCCGGAAGGUUAAUUGAUGGGGUUAGCGCAAGCGAAGCUCUUGAUCGAAGCCCCGGUAAACGGCGGCCGUAACUAUAACGGUCCUAAGGUAGCGAAAUUCCUUGUCGGGUAAGUUCCGACCUGCACGAAUGGCGUAAUGAUGGCCAGGCUGUCUCCACCCGAGACUCAGUGAAAUUGAACUCGCUGUGAAGAUGCAGUGUACCCGCGGCAAGACGGAAAGACCCCGUGAACCUUUACUAUAGCUUGACACUGAACAUUGAGCCUUGAUGUGUAGGAUAGGUGGGAGGCUUUGAAGUGUGGACGCCAGUCUGCAUGGAGCCGACCUUGAAAUACCACCCUUUAAUGUUUGAUGUUCUAACGUUGACCCGUAAUCCGGGUUGCGGACAGUGUCUGGUGGGUAGUUUGACUGGGGCGGUCUCCUCCUAAAGAGUAACGGAGGAGCACGAAGGUUGGCUAAUCCUGGUCGGACAUCAGGAGGUUAGUGCAAUGGCAUAAGCCAGCUUGACUGCGAGCGUGACGGCGCGAGCAGGUGCGAAAGCAGGUCAUAGUGAUCCGGUGGUUCUGAAUGGAAGGGCCAUCGCUCAACGGAUAAAAGGUACUCCGGGGAUAACAGGCUGAUACCGCCCAAGAGUUCAUAUCGACGGCGGUGUUUGGCACCUCGAUGUCGGCUCAUCACAUCCUGGGGCUGAAGUAGGUCCCAAGGGUAUGGCUGUUCGCCAUUUAAAGUGGUACGCGAGCUGGGUUUAGAACGUCGUGAGACAGUUCGGUCCCUAUCUGCCGUGGGCGCUGGAGAACUGAGGGGGGCUGCUCCUAGUACGAGAGGACCGGAGUGGACGCAUCACUGGUGUUCGGGUUGUCAUGCCAAUGGCACUGCCCGGUAGCUAAAUGCGGAAGAGAUAAGUGCUGAAAGCAUCUAAGCACGAAACUUGCCCCGAGAUGAGUUCUCCCUGACCCUUUAAGGGUCCUGAAGGAACGUUGAAGACGACGACGUUGAUAGGCCGGGUGUGUAAGCGCAGCGAUGCGUUGAGCUAACCGGUACUAAUGAACCGUGAGGCUUAACCUU
rnacentral:rRNA from 1 species